rnacentral:rRNA from 1 species
GCCUACGGGGCGCAGCAGUAGGGAAUUUUCGUCAAUGGGCGCAAGCCUGAACGAGCAAUGCCGCGUGAACGAGGAAGGUCUUCGGAUCGUAAAGUUCUGUUGAAGGGGAAAAAGAGCGGAGAGAGGAAAUGGUCUCCGAUUGAUAUUACCCUUCGAGGAAGUCACGGCUAACUACGUGCCAGCAGCCGCGGUAAUACGUAGGAUGCGAGCGUUAUCCGGAUUUAUUGGGUUUAAAGGGUGCGUAGGCGGAAUGCCAAGUCAGCGGUAAAAUCGCGGGGCUCAACCUCGCUCCGCCGUUGAAACUG